UACAGAGGGUGCGAGCGUUAAUCGGAAUUACUGGGCGUAAAGCGCACGCAGGCGGUGUGUUAAGUCGGAUGUGAAAGCCCCGGGCUCAACCUGGGAACUGCAUCUGAGACUGGCAAGCUGGAGUCUCGUAGAGGAGGGUGGAAUUCCAGGUGUAGCGGUGAAAUGCGUAGAGAUCUGGAGGAACACCGGUGGCGAAGGCGGCCCCCUGGACGAAGACUGACGCUCAGGUGCGAAAGAGUGGGGAGCAAACAGG
rnacentral:rRNA from 1 species